AUUGAACGCUGGCGGAAUGCUUUACACAUGCAAGUCGAACGGCAGCACGGACUUCGGUCUGGUGGCGAGUGGCGAACGGGUGAGUAAUGUAUCGGAACGUGCCCAGUCGUGGGGGAUAACGUAGUGAAAAUUACGCUAAUACCGCAUACGAUCUAUGGAUGAAAGCGGGGGAUCGCAAGACCUCGCGCGAUUGGAGCGGCCGAUAUCAGAUUAGGUAGUUGGUGGGGUAAAGGCCCACCAAGCCAACGAUCUGUAGCUGGUCUGAGAGGACGACCAGCCACACUGGAACGGAGACACGGCCCAGACUCCUAGGGGAGGCAGAAGUGGGGAAUUUUGGACAAUGGGCGAAAGCCUGAUCCAGCAAUUCCGCGUGCAGGAUGAAGGCCCUCGGGUUGAAAACUGUUUUUGUAAAGAACAAAAAGGUUUCUACUAAUACUAGGGGCUCAUGACGGUACUGUAAGAAUAAGCACCGGCUAACUACGUGCCAGCCGCCGCAGUAA
rnacentral:rRNA from 1 species